UUUCCGUAGGUGAACCUGCGGAAGGAUCAUUAUUGUAUAACCGAGGUGCGAGGGCUGUGGCUGAUCCGAAAGGUCGUGCACGCCCGAGUGCCCUCACACACAUCCAUCUCACCCCUAUGUGCACCACCGCGUGGGUCCCCCUUUGGGUUGUUCGGGGGGGGUCUUACGUUUUCACACAAACUUUGUAUGCAGUGUAGAAUGUAUUUUUUGUUUUUGCGAUCACGCAAUCAAUACAACUUUCAACAACGGAUCUCUUGGCUCUC
rnacentral:misc_RNA from 1 species